AGUGAACGCUGGCGGUAGGCCUAACACAUGCAAGUCGAACGGCAGCACAGUAGGAGCUUGCUCUUACGGGUGGCGAGUGGCGGACGGGUGAGGAAUACAUCGGAAUCUACUUUUUCGUGGGGGAUAACGUAGGGAAACUUACGCUAAUACCGCAUACGACCUACGGGUGAAAGCAGGGGAUCUUCGGACCUUGCGCGAUUGAAUGAGCCGAUGUCGGAUUAGCUAGUUGGCGGGGUAAAGGCCCACCAAGGCGACGAUCCGUAGCUGGUCUGAGAGGAUGAUCAGCCACACUGGAACUGAGACACGGUCCAGACUCCUACGGGAGGCAGCAGUGGGGAAUAUUGGACAAUGGGCGCAGGCCUGAUCCAGCCAUACCGCGUGGGUGAAGAAGGCCUUCGGGUUGUAAAGCCCUUUUGUUGGGAAAGAAAAGCAGCAGGUUAAUACCCCGCUGUUCUGACGGUACCCAAAGAAUAAGCACCGGCUAACUUCGUG
rnacentral:rRNA from 1 species